rnacentral:rRNA from 1 species
UGCCAGCAGCCGCGGUAAUACGGGAGGGGCAAGCGUUAUCCGAAAUGACUGGGCGUAAAGAGUCCGUAGACUGUACUGUAAGUUAUUUGUUAAAUCCUAAAGCCCAACUUUAGAACAGCAUUUAAUACUACUUUACUUGAGUUUUGUUCGGAAGAGUAGAAUUCCACGUUUAGGGAUAAUCCCCGUAGAUAUGUGGAGGAACACCAUUAGCGAAGGCGACUCUUUGGUAAAAACUGAAGUUGAGUGACGAAAGUGUAGGGAGAAAACAGGAUUAGAUA